rnacentral:rRNA from 1 species
GAUGAACGCUGGCGGCGUGCUUAACACAUGCAAGUCGAACGGUAAGGCCCUUCGGGGUACACGAAUGGCGAACGGGUGAGUAACACGUGGGUGAUCUGCCCUGCACUUCGGGAUAAGCCUGGGAAACUGGGUCUAAUACCGGAUAGGACCACUGCCUGCAUGGGUGGUGAUGGAAAGCUUUUGCGGUGUGGGAUGGGCCCGCGGCCUAUCAGCUUGUUGGUGGGGUGAUGGCCUACCAAGGCGACGACGGGUAGCCGGCCUGAGAGGGUGACCGGCCACACGGGGACUGAGAUACGGCCCAGACUCCUACGGGAGGCAGCAGUGGGGAAUAUUGCACAUGGGCGCAAGCCUGAUGCAGCGACGCCGCGUGAGGGAUGACGGCCUUCGGGUUGUAAACCUCUUUCAGCACCGACGAAGCGCAAGUGACGGUAGGUGCAGAAGAAGGACCGGCCAACUACGUGCCAGCAGCCGCCGUAA